AAAAUCCAAUAAAAUAAUAGCUGAUUAUUAACGGGCGCUAAGCCCCGCCCCCAGGUGGGAACGUCACUGGGCGUUCCAUCAUUAGCACACCUGUGUCAACCAGGACAUGCUAACGUUAAGAGGCAGUUUUCAGAGAAAGGAGGGUGGUUCUGAGCGGACGCUUUCAUCGACAAGCUCCUCCAGGAAUCUGACAGAAUGAUUUCAUUUUCGCUGGCUGGAGUCAAACCGCCCUUUCAACAGCCAUUCAAUUUUGGGAAUGUGCUCUUUGUCCCCCAGAGCUCACAUAUUGCAUUUCUCUGACAGACAAAGUCAUGCAUUGCAAUGUAUUAAGACACAUUUGUCAGGUCGCCAUGAUGUAAAUGCAGAGAUUCUGAGCCGUCAUCGUGUUCAGGCACCGCCGGUGCUGCUCCACCACACGGCCCCUGCGCUGUGACUUCAUAGCCACAUGUAUAAAUGGAGUUGGCACAAAGAAAACAUCUACAAGAUGAGCGACGACAUGAGGUUUCCCCACACGGCCGACGACUGAAAGAUGAAGAAGAAGAUGCCGAAGUACUGGUUGAUGACGUCGGAGCCCUUCUUGCCGUCCCUGGCCGCCUGUAUGUUCCCAACAAUGGUCAGGACGUUACCAUCCUGGGAAGAAGUUCCCGAUGGAGUAGGAGACGUAGCAGGCCAUGCCCACCACGAUGGUCCAUUUACAGCCCAGGUUUUUGAUCAUGAUGGGAGGAAGAAACAUGGAGGAGAUGAUGAUGGAGGCG